rnacentral:antisense_RNA from 1 species
GGGCGGAUGUGCAAUCUUCACCUGUUUAUUCGGUAGAGGGUGCCAUCUUCAGGUAGCCCUUCACGUUGUACAGAAAACAAUGGAGACUUCUCCUCCUGGGGCAGAACCUCUGUCACCCUUUCAUCUCCAGUGGUGUCACCUUUCCUAAACUUCAGAGAUGUUGCUUCAACUUACAGCUCAGAUAACAAGUGCCACUUCCAGGCUAAAGGAAUCCAUUCAGCAAACUCCCAGUAUGAAUGUUUCUGCUCUCGGCUGGAGAAACAGAAGAAGCAUUAAUGGAGGAGGAGAGGGAUUCUAGAGCAGCACAGUCUAAUACAACUUUCUGUGGGGAUGGAAAUGAUCCAUUAUCUGUGCUGCCCAAUAUGCCAGAUGCUAGCUCCAAUUAGCUACUGAGCACUUAAAAUGUGACUAGCACAGCUGAGAAACAGCCUUUCAUUUUAUUUCACUUUAAUUAAAGAGUUCUAGAGCUCCUGCCUCUA